UACGGGGGGGGCAAGCGUUGUUCGGAAUUACUGGGCGUAAAGGGCUCGUAGGCGGCCAACUAAGUCAGACGUGAAAUCCCUCGGCUUAACUGAGGAAGUGCAUCCGAAACUGAGUAGCUAGAGUACGAAAGAGGGUCGCGGAAUUCCCGGUGUAGAGGUGAAAUUCGUAGAUAUCGGGAGGAACACCAGUGGCGAAGGCGGUUGCCUGGAGCUUUGCUGACGCUGAGGCGCGAAAGCGUGGGGAGCGAUCCGG
rnacentral:rRNA from 1 species